rnacentral:rRNA from 1 species
CAGUCUGAGCUCGGCGGACCCGCGGCAGGGAAGUAUGGUAGAGCUUCCCGUGACUGGGACCGUCCCGAUGCGGGCACUCCGUCGUUCCAGACGCAUUUGUCUCUCGUCCCAAGGACGCUGCAGCCGGUUCGGAAGUGCAAGCGUGGCGGCCAGAAGGCCGGGAAAUGGCAGGUGGCCGGAGGCUCUCCUCGUGGGGGUUUUCGGUUGUUAGCCGUCUCGGUAGUGGUUAGUCUCCGGACCGAGGUGUCUUCAGUCCCUCCAGGGACUCUUCGCCUCCUCCCUGAGUCGCGGGACAGACCUCGGCAAGGGCUCCGUAUUCCCCCGUCGCACUGCUGCGUAGUGGGCGGAGUAAUGCGUCACCCUGUUGGCUGGGGCGGCCCGUAGGGGGCUCGAGGCUGGCAGCGAGUAGGUCGGUCACCCACCCGACCCGUCUUGAAACACGGACCAAGGAGUCUAACAUGUGCGCGAGUCAGAGGGUCUUGAUUAGGCCCUCGGGCGCAAUGAAAGCGAAGGGCUGCCUCGCGCAGUCUCAGAGGGGAUCCCCCUCCUCAGUAAGGGGGCGCACCCUCGACCCGUCCUAUCCGCAUCGCCGGUUGGGCGGAGUCUGAGCGUACACGUUGGGACCCGAAAGAUGGUGAACUAUGCCCGGACAGGACGAGGCCAGAGGAAACUCUGGUGGAGGUCCGC